rnacentral:snRNA from 1 species
GGAUGUGGGGCUAUCUGGCUGUGACAUGUCACCCCAUUGUUAGCCAGGUUGAUCUGGCUGGCUAGGUGGGUGUCCCCUUCCUCCUUCACCACUCCAUAUGCAUCCCACCCAAUGCUGUGUACCCAGUCCAAGAAAACAGUGAUUUUCUCUGAUAGAGAAGGACCAUUCUUUGGUCAAGGGUAAAUGAGUAGCUGUGUUCCCUUUAGAACCUCCAAACAAGCUGUUAAAAUGCAGACUAUGCUGUUCUGUGGCAAGCAACCCUCAACUUAUUUUCUAAUCAUUUA